GACGAACGCUGGCGGCGUGCUUAACACAUGCAAGUCGAACGGAAAGGCCCUGCUUUUGUGGGGUGCUCGAGUGGCGAACGGGUGAGUAACACGUGAGUAACCUGCCCUUGACUUUGGGAUAGCUUCAGGAAACUGGGGCUAAUACCGGAUAGGAGCUCCUGCUGCAUGGUGGGGGUUGGAAAGUUUCGGCGGUUGGGGAUGGACUCGCGGCUUAUCAGCUUGUUGGUGGGGUAGUGGCUUACCAAGGCUUUGUCGGGUAGCCGGCCUGAGAGGGUGACCGGCCACAUUGGGACUGAGAUACGGCCCAGACUCCUACGGGAGGCAGCAGUGGGGAAUAUUGCACAAUGGGCGGAAGCCUGAUGCAGCAACGCCGCGUGCGGGAUGACGGCCUUCGGGUUGUAAACCGCUUUCGCCUGUGACGAAGCGUGAGUGACGGUAAUGGGUAAAGAAGCACCGGCUAACUACGUG
rnacentral:rRNA from 1 species